AACGAACGCUGGCGGCAGGCUUAACACAUGCAAGUCGAGCGCCCCGCAAGGGGAGCGGCAGACGGGUGAGUAACGCGUGGGAAUCUACCCAUCUCUACGGAAUAACGCAUGGAAACGGGUGCUAAUACCGUAUACGUCCUUCGGGAGAAAGAUUUAUCGGAGAUGGAUGAGCCCGCGUUGGCUUAGCUAGUUGGUGGGGUAAAGGACUACCAAGGCGACGAUCCAAAGCUGGUCUGAGAGGAUGAUCAGCCACACUGGGACUGAGACACGGCCCAUCCUCCCACGGGAGGCGGCAGUGGGAAUAUUGGACAAUGGGCGCAACCAUGAUCCAGGCAUGCCGCGUGAGGGAUGAAGGCCCUAGGGUUGUAAAGCUCUUUCACCGGUGAAGAUAAUGACGGUAACCGGAGAAGAAGCCCCGGCUAACUUCGUGCCAGCCGCCGCCGUAACAC
rnacentral:rRNA from 1 species